UGGGCGCGUAACUCAGUUGGAUAGAGUAUCCGCCUUCUAAGCGGACUGUCGCAGGUUCAAGUCCUGCCGCGCCUGU
rnacentral:tRNA from 1 species